AGACGACUCUCUUGGAGGGAAGCGAGUCGAAGGCGGAGGACGGGUUUUUGGGAUGCGGGCAGCGAAGAACAAGAGAAUGUGAUCGCGACGUACGCGGUGAAACGUGAAAGCCAGCGCAAGAGCACAAGAGGACAGCGUGCAUCGACGGACAUCCGAGCAAGCCCGAUUCGCCGCAUCCUGAGCCUCCUCGGUUCAACCUGCCCGUCGAACCAGAGCCACGUUGAUGACCGGUCCUUCCAAGUCCCUUCUCCCAAGGAACCCCUGCGACGGGACACCCAGAACACUCCGGGCGAGAGGUAAAUCAACCCAUCUGAAGGGCGAGGCAAAGCUACAACCAGCAGCAUCGUCCCGAAGUUGCAACCAGCGGCAUCAUCCCGAAGGAGUCGUUCAAUUGCUUUGACACCUCUUUUCAGGAAUGCUCCAUUGCUCUUGGUGGUCAACACCCAAGACACAAAACUAAAAGGGCGAGAGAUGAGACAUGCAAAAAGUAGAAGAAAAAACAAGCGACGGUUUCUGGCGCAUGCCUUUCGUCAGACCACAAAGCGAUCCGCAAGUUUAAUGUGUAUUUUUGUAAUUUAUGUUUCAUCCAGUGUUUAUGAGCAAUAAAUAUGUAGGAACAAA